AUUGAUUUUGAUUUGGAAAUAAAUAAUACCAAGUCGUGUUCUUAUAUGUAAUUUAUUGUAAGAAUGCUCAACCGGAAUGUUUUGAAAUUGGCAUUUCCUUUGAGAUGAUAUCCCUUCAGCUAAUUAGUAGAUGGUGGAAGAAGCGAAGCAGCUAAAACCUCGAUUACCAAAUUCAUUACCACAAAGCAGCCUCUGUUCGUAUUCCCAAGAUGUUCAUUCAACAUUCAACAUAAGGCAGCAUCACUAUCAGAUCAGUUAGAUUCGAUGCCAUCAAAAGGAGCUUUUUCGCAAAAUGUCCAAGUUACUCAAUGUAUAAUUCGUGCGAGGUAAAGCCAUUACAAAAGUUGACCUUAGUUCAAGAUGAGAGACGGUUAAAGAUGACUUCAGUGCCGGCAAGCAGAGUCUUGUUAUUAGUAAUAAUUUAUUGAUUGGCGUUUCAUCAUUUCAGUAUAAUUGACUCUUUAAAGAUAUUGUUUCAAUGGCGAUGCCGAGAAUUACGUCAGCCUCUGUAAGAACCCUACAGUUUACUUUUUAGGAUGGGUCAACAGAAAUUAUAGAAUAUUAAAACAAAAACACUUUAGUAACGUUAAUGUGAAAACUGUUUGAAAUAAAUUUUAGGCCUAACAAUGGCGUAGGAAAAACUCUGAUAACGAUUUUGAAAAUAACUUUCAAUAGCUUUCCAUUAAUGUGGCAGAGAAUCAUAUUUAUCAAUUUUUUUUCUUGUUAGCUACUAUACUAAGUUAAGAAAAAACAAUCAUUUACAGUAGACAAAUUGAUCACUCACAAAACAAAAUAUAUACAAUCUAUCUUUGAUCUUAAUGGCAUAAAUCAUAAGACGUGCGAAGCUAGUCAAAAUAAGAUUAAGCCCAGAUAGCUAUAAUAUAUGUUUUAACCUACUU